ensembl:lncRNA CASC15 cancer susceptibility 15
GGUGGAGGAUGAGGAGGCGGCCUGGGACCCCGAGUCAGAUCUUUGGGGUGAGCACGAGGACGUGGUGUAGGGAAGAGGACGAGUGAGCAGCGCCUGGCUGUAGGGUCAGAGGGCGCCUGGUCAUCCUGAGAGCCUUGCCUUCGCAGUUUGAGAUUAGGGGAAGUUCGGGGCCUGAGAAGGUGGGCGCGAUGCUGGAGCUGGGAAUUCUUCCUCGGAGCCCCUGGACCGAGUUGCGCUGCGCCUGCAGCAACAGGCCGGGAAAAAGUGUCCGAACGCCUCGUGGACUGCAGCGGGGGAAAUGUCCCUUAAAAGUGCGACGAAGUGGGGAAGAAGGUGUAAUUACUAUUAUCAGCAUCUAGAAAGCAUCAUGAAUUUGCUGGAGUACUUCCUAGCACUGACCUCCUUCAUUCUGCGUUGUUCUUACUGGAUCUUUCCAUCAGCCAACAAUAUGGAAGUACCAAUACAAGGUCAAAUCAUUCCUGGAUUCAUCUGGAGUUGCUUAAAAGUUAAAUCAUUGGAAUUUUUGAUGAUACCUUUUCUAUAUGGAUUACAAUUUGAUCGCUGGGAAUUCUCCACCUUAAAGAAGGUAUGUUGCUUUUUAGAUACUCUACGAGGACUUCAUUUUUGGUCUGGGGCUUAUACCCAGAGAUUUGACUAGUUAUUUUGAGCGGCUGUGUUAUCAGAGUGAUUUAUGACUUUGGACUUCCUUGUUUUAAACUGUUUUCUGUAGAUCCUUUCUUAUUUAGGAUGAUGAUUUGGGUAUUUGUGAUGGAAUUUUAUUAAUUUUACCAUCUGUUCUUCAACAUUAGCACACAUAAUGAAUGCAGAUUAUAUGGUCACUAAGGAAAUUUUGUAAUGAUGAUGCAUCCAGCAGGGAAAUAUCCUACUUUAUUUGUGAUUGAUUUGCUUCUUAAAUAUUGCAGUAGAUAUUUCUAAGUUCUGUGUUAGCAGAACUUAUGUUGUUUGCAUUACUAUUAUUUUUCUUCAUUUUGACACUUCAUUUUGGUAAACAAAAUCCAAAAAUGGCCCAAAAUAAAUGUCUAAUGACUGGGAGUCUAUAUAAAAUACAGUAAGUUCUCUCAGAGUGAAAACCUUGAGUUUGUAAUAACAGAGCCCGUACAUUUGUUUAACCUUUAUGGCAUACAUCAAGUUUUUAUAGUGGUCAUAAGAGUCUUCUAUUCCUUCUUUUAAGUCUUACAAUUAGUUUUUGUUCACCUCUGUGAGAAAGUAGUUAAAAAUUCACAUAACUACUGUUGGUAAUAUAAAAAGUUAAUUUUGAUAUAUUUACAAUCCUUGUUUAAGUGAUUGUUUGCCAUGGAAAGUAAGAACUUUCUUUCUGUGGUCUGGUCAAAUAAAUUAACUGGGAAUUGGAAACAUUUUUAUCUUGUUAUGAGGAAAAAA